UAUAUUCUAGUAUAUAGAUGUACAAAAGUUUUUGAAACUUUAGGAAAUAAUUGUAG
rnacentral:tRNA from 1 species